rnacentral:lncRNA from 1 species
GGAAGGGCCAGUCUUACUUUCACCAUGCUCACCCCAACAGCACUGAGUCUGUUUCCAGGCAGUGAACAAGCAGGGCUGAGAACUUGCUCCAGAGUACCCACCUCCCAGCUGCAAAGCAAAUAAAGCUUUCCUUCUUUCCCCACCUGUGGAAUCUGCAAGCCAGCUUCACCCCUCCCAUCGAGUUCUGGUCAGGAGGCUUCUGGUUGAGUUCAAAUUGCUAUAAAGUUCAGCUGGAGCCUUCCUUCUCCCUGUGGCCUUUUCCCAGUACCUCUGGCCACCCUCCCGAAGGACCUUUGUAAGGCCAGGCAAAAAUGGCUUGCUAGGGGACCCAGUGAUCUCCCAGGGCUUUUUCCAACUGCUUCCUCUUCCCCUAUAUUUUGCUUGGCUCUCUAAAUCGACUCAGCUCCAGAGGGUCUCCCUCUGUUGCCCAGGCUGGAGGACAGUGGUAUAAUCAUAGCUAACUGCAGCUUUGAACUCCUGAGAACAGCAAUCCUCCUUCCUCGGUCUUCCGCAGCAUUGGGAUUACAGGUCCUGAAGAAAAUGAAGUUGAUGUUUCAGUGAGACACCUGUAUGCCAGAGAGUAAAAGGGAUUAUUGUGGAUUCCUGAGAAUUUUCUACAUAUGAAAUCAUGUCAUCUAUGAACAGAGAUGGGACUGUCUCGUUGGAGGAAAACAAGCUCAGGGCUCCCACUGAUUCCACAUUAUGAAUAGAAAUUAUCAGCCCGAGAAUGAGAUGUCCCUAAUGCAUAAAGAGUUCUGCUAAGGAAAUGAAGCAUGUUCUUCAAGCAAGAAAGAAACUCUUUUCUGGAUUACAGUUAUUCUGACAGCCACAGGCCUCACAGAACUAGCAUAGCCAAGAUUU